AUUGAACGCUGGCGGCAGGCCUAACACAUGCAAGUCGAGCGGAAGAAGUGAGCUUGCUCCUGGAUUCAGCGGCGGACGGGUGAGUAAUGCCUAGGAAUCUGCCUGACAUGGCGGUAUAACGUCCGGAAACGGGCGCUAAUACCGCAUAUGUCCUGAGGGAGCAAGGGGGGUAUCUUCGGACCUCAGGCUAUCUGCUUAGCCUAGGUCGGAUUAGAUAGUUGGUGGGGUAAAGGCCUACCUAGGCGACGAUCCGUAACUGGUCUGAGAGGAUGGCCAGGCACACUGGAAUUGAGACGCGGUCCAGACUAAUAUGGGAGGCGGCAGUGGGGAAUGUUGGAUUGGGGACGGAGGGCUGACCCAAACAUGCCGAGUAGGGGAAGAAGGUCUUGGGAUUGUAAAGCUAUUUUGGUUGGGAGGAAGGACAGUGAGUUAAUAGCGUGCUGUAUUGAAGUUACCGAAAGAAUAAGCACCGGCUAACUUCGUG
rnacentral:rRNA from 1 species